UACAUGCUUUGUCAGGUUUUGAUGUACUACAGGAUAUUUUACUUGAUGCUAUGCGCCCACAGUUUCCGGCCUUAACAUCAUAAAGAGAGGAGUGCAGUACUGGCUUUCAAAUGGUGUUAUAGACAAAGACGAGCUCGAGGAAAGGCUGAAGCAGAUGCCGUGGUUCAAAGCAUAUGAAGCCAGCAGAAUCCCAAAUGAUGUAACAAGGAAGGAUUCUGGAAAAGCACAAUUAAUUUCCCUGACAAAAUUGCUUAGGAGUACCAAAGCUACCUUUUCCCGCACUACUGAGAGUUUGUAAUGGAAGGAAUUCUUACAGCAGAUGAAUAUGUGGUGUGGACACCAAUUCCUCACAUAGUUGAGCUCCUUUUUAAUUGCGGAAGAAAUGGUCGGACUAAUGAAGAAAUUGCACAUCUGAAAGCCCCCAGCUGGAGACAAUGUAUCCUCGCAGAGGAAAGAUGUGGUCCUUCAGAAUGCUUUAUUAUCCUUCACCGUCUCAUUCAUCUUCAUGAAGAUAUAUCAAGGUUUUCAUCUCCUGAUAAAUUUUGGUGUUUCCAGUCAGUUGAAAGGUAAAGUUGACAUGGCAUUAACUUUUGAAAUCAGUCUUGGUAUAUACAAUAAACCGACAACGGUAAAUGUAGAUUUAGGAACCUAAAAAUUUC